rnacentral:lncRNA from 1 species
AAUACGGAAAAAGUGAGCCGAGGAGACAACGGUGGAGAGCUGGCGAGGCUGCCCGGGGUCGCAGCGGCGGGCGGGUCAGCCGGGGGGCGGGGACCCCGCGCGGGACCCCGGGGUGCGGCGGCGCUGGGCUGGAUGCGCGUGCCGGGGGCCGUGGAUGGCCAUGGAUGGGCCCCGCCGGGCCGCGUAUCUCUCGGGGACCCUGCGGCCAACACUGUCUUUUAGAGCCGGGGAUGGGGGAGUGGAGGGGGCCCUGUUGCCCUAGAGGCCUCGGGACCCUUCCCUUGCCCACCCCCACUCGGGCCGCGGCGGGCAGGAGCAGUCUGCGGAGUUCUGGCCCAUCUGUCACUCUGUCCCGGGACGCUGUGAUCCACGGCGGUGGGGGAGGGGGAAGGGGGAGGGACAAGCAUGGCUCGGGUGAAGUUUUAAACUCUGUUCUUCUCUCUUGCCUUUCUUUGGGGACAUUCUCCCCUUUGGGAUCUGUCCUGGACUUCGCAGGCUGCGAGAACUUGUUGACAAGUGAAAGCUCGGUAGAGCCCCGGCUUGGUUUGUGGUCUGCUUAUUUUUUGCAAAGUGACUGUUCCUGUUUGCGCUGGUCCUUAUCGGUGCCCCUUUGGGGGACUUCGGCACUGAUCAGCGCGCUGACAGCCGCCGUCCGGGCUGCGGGAAACUGGGAGGGCAGGGCCGGAGCGCUGGGCCCCGGGGCGCGGCCCAGCUGGGACACCCGCGAAGACGGCGGCGGUGAAGAGGUCGGCUCCGCUGCCGGGGAGCUGGGGAUUAUGCAAAUGGGGAAAGAAAACCUCCGCCCUCGCCCUUCUGCCAAGUCAAGUCUGGGAAUUUGUAGGUAUUGUGGGCAUGUGAUGGAAGGCAGUGGCAAAUAUGGCUUGAUCUUCUGAAAAUGCAUUUGGGAAGCAGAGCCAGCACCAAAGUGAGAUGAGUGAGAUACUUUUCAGAGGCAAAAUGUAAAGGGUACCAAUAAACGUAAUCAAGAUAAAGAUUUAAUACAAUUUUUUAAAAAUAAAAAUGUGAGAAUCCAGAAUGGACACAAUAUCCACAUUUUAAAUAAUUUUAAAUAUUGCACUAAAAUAUUUAUACUACUGAGUUUAUUGGCACCUGUUAAAUUUUGUACCUGAGCCGAGUGCGUCACUCAUCUCACCCUAGUCCUGAUCCUGUUGGGAAGUCUGGAAAGUCAAGGAUUUCAUGGAGUUAGGGAUCCUUGACUAAUUGGUGCUUCAUAUGUUCUCAUUACUUGCUUUGGGUAAGUCUUGUACAGGCAGGAGCCACCAUGCCCAGCCCCCAAAUAUAUUAAAUAGGGUCUGUUACCAUCUCAGUGACUGUCUUAAAACAACCUACAAACUUCCAGCACCAUUUCCUAGCAUGCUGGCUCAGCAGACUGUUACUCCGUGUAAAUCACCAGACUGCAAUUCUCAAGGGCGACCAAUGCUUGUCUCCUUUCCAUUACAGCAACUCUUUUGGAGCAAGGGUAAUAAAAGACUUUGUCAAACAAAAUACAUGUUUUGUAUUGGAUUAAUGUUUACAUAAAAAGGGAGAAUGCUGGUAGUCUGCAUGCAAACACUGCUAGUUUCCUGCCCUUAUUACCUCCUUAUUUCUAAAUAAAUCUCUCGCCUUCCUACUCUCAAACUUGGCCAAAUGAAAAGUUGAAUUCCCCAGG